rnacentral:ribozyme from 11 species
AAACAAACAAAAAGGAAAAAAGAACAAACUGAAACGUCACUUCCCACGCUUGGCCCUGAUGCGCCUCUCCUUGGCUCCUGUUUUCCUGGUCUUCGCUUUCUCCUUAUUUGACUUCUUCUUGGUUUUCUUUC